AAGUUUAAAUAGUUUAAAAAAAAUAUUAAUUUGUGGAAUUAAAGAUAUAAAAUUUAUUUUAAACU
rnacentral:tRNA from 1 species